AGCAGUAUUCAUCCGCGUUUCCUGCGACGUUCCUAAAUCCUUACCAACUCAAAAAGUUAGAAAAAUAGGGAACGCCCCAGGUUUCAGAAAUUUGCCACACACACUAAAAUAGCGUUAGAUGAAAAAUUAAAGAAGUCUACGGCCUAUUUGCUGCACAAUAAAGAAAUUUUAUACGGCCAAUUUUUGUUCCAGAAGGCGGUAGAAUAUACGACUAUGUUCUAGCUUCGCGGACGAAUACACAAUACGACUGCGCGAGGGGUUCUUAUAUAAAUAUUCGGCAAUCAUGGGCGCUGGUUGAGUUAUGACGAGUUGAUGAUGGUGCGUCGGGAGCGAUAGCGUGGUGUUUUUUGUGGCAGUGCGGAAGUUGCUGGGCUGAUGAAGAGAACUGGAAGCAAGGAAAGUGUUAGGAGGAUUGGGUUUGUUGAGAAUUUGUAAAGGUUUUGUUCCUUAAAGAUAUUUACUUGUAUGAAUAAAGUUUCAAAUAAAGACUACAAUUUGUAGCAAAUAA